GUCUACGGCCAUGCCACCCUGAACACGCCCGAUCUUGUCUGAUCUCGGAAGCUAAGCAGGGUCGGGACUGGUUAGCAUUGGGAUGGGAGAAAGGGCUCGGCCAAGCUGAGGCCA
ensembl:rRNA 5S_rRNA 5S ribosomal RNA